AACGAACGCUGGCGGCAUGCCUAACACAUGCAAGUCGAACGAAACCUCCAGGACCAGGGGCGCCCGAGGUCGUAACGCGUGGGAACCUUCCCUUAUGGUCGGACUACCUACCCGAAAGGGGUGCUAAUACGGGACAAUAUCUUCUACCCAAAGAUUUAUCGACUUUGGAUGGUCCCGCGUUUGAUUCGCUAGUUGUUAGGGUAAAAGCUUACCAAGGCGACGAUCCAUAGCUGGUCUGAGAGAAUGAUCAGCCACACUGGGAGUGAGACACGGCCCGGAAUCCUACGGGAUGCAGCAGUGGCGGAUAUUGGAACAUGGGCGAAGGCAUGAUCGAGCAAUGACGCGUGAGUGCUGAAGGCAUUAGGGUUGUAAAGCUCAUUUAACCGGGAUGAUAAUGACAGUACCGGAAGAAUAAGCUCCGGCUAACUACGUG
rnacentral:rRNA from 1 species